UCGAAAUCGUCGUCGAAGUCCAAAAUAUGCUCACGAACAGGUUUGGAACUUCGAGUCAUGCACUAGUACCUAAAAAACAAAGAAACAAAACAAGUUAGCAAUCUGCAAUAGGAAACAAACGAAAAUAAAAAAUAAACAAAAAGAACGAGGGAUUAGCAAAGUUGCUAAUCUCCGGCAACGGCGCCAAAUUUUGAUGCGUAAAAUAACUAAACACACAAAUUAACCCUCUUGUUGACAAUUGUAGUAUGGAUAAGUAGGGAUCGUUCUUAAACCGGGGAUUAUGAGGGAUUGCUAAAACACUCUAAACUGACUCAAAUCUGUAAAACAAAGUUUAAAAUACUAAACUAGACUCAAAGAAUGCAAAACUAAAAUCUAAAACACUAAAACAAACCAAAAGACUCAAAACAGCAAACAAACACUCAAAACUGCCUUAAAACCACUUUCUGGGCAGUUUUGGGACUCUAACACAACUUGGACGAAUUUUGGUUUCCUAAUGACCUAAAACACCUAAAAACAUAUUCUAAGACAAGUUCUAAGUAAUAUGACUUAAAGGAAUAAGGUGGGAUUGAUUUUGGACGAAAAUAAUUAAAUGGGCAGAUUGAAAAAGAAAACAGAUUGUAAGACAAAAUUGUGAUGAAUCAAUGGAUGAUGGAAUAGCUAAGGGGUUCUUCUCCACACAUGAAAUAUAUGCAACGUAAAUCAAUUUCCAGUUAUCAAUUUAAUAAGUUGUGAACGUCGACACUCCAAGUUAAUUAGGUCCGCUUAAAUUAACCUUCAGAUUUCCCUAGAAUCAUUGAAUUGGAUGAAUAUGCAUCGCAAACAAAUUAUUCCUAACAAGUUCUCUAUACGAACAGCAUGAUAAAGACACAAGUUAGAAUCAUUACGUUCUUUGGAAAUAAUAAGCAUCGACAAGGCAUUUGUAACUAUGAAAAGCAUGAUACUCUUGCCAGGAAUCUACUUAACACGAUCGUGACUAGCGACCUUCACUACUUGCGAAUAUAAAUUCAUAACGAUUAGGUGAAACAAACUUAUAUCCUAGCACCAAAUUCAAGCAUGCAAAUUAAGCGUGCACUCUCAAUCAACAUACAAGAAUAAGUUCUAAAUCAAACAGUUAAGCAAAUUGUAUUCACGACUUAUGCAACGAUAACUGAAAGUAAUCAACUUAUUUUACGUAUAUAAUCAUGGUUUUGAAUACACCCUUAGCCAAAACAAAUUUAUCCAAUCAUACUCAAAGCAAAACAAAGAUUACAUGAAUUAGACAUUGAAAUAUAAGAUAAAAUACACCUAAAAUUGUUCAACAACUCAGAAUGAAGAGCCAAACAAUUGAGUGAAUCUGUCCCCUUUCCUUGCUUGCGGCAGAUUGGAUGUUGGUGGUUUCUUGGGUUAUUGAAUGAUGUAGAAUGGAUGGAGGACGUAUGGAAGUGUUUAGGGUUGAUGGGUGGUGCGGCUAGGGUGGUUUUGGGUCAGAAAAUAUGGUGAAUGGUGAAGGAAUGGGGCUGUUGAAGAUGGAGUUCAAUUUCUGGCGUGAAUGGUCAGUUUCUGGAUGAAUGGGGAUGUUUUUAGCUGCACCAGGAUGAGUUUAUUUAAAGGGAUUAGGAAAUUAAAAACCCUAGACUAUUUUGGUAAACAGAAAUUAAGUCAAAAGCUUCUAGAAAUAGGAAAUUAAAUAAGAAACUUAAGGGAAAGUCAAGGGAUAUGCGGCAACACCUUGAAACACAUUAGGAAUGUGUUUUAAUGCAUAAAAUCAGGAAAGAACCCUCUCCCUUGCACGGCAAGGAAGAGGAAAGGGCAAGAAACCUUCACAAGGUGCGGCAAGGCUUUAGGAAAGGUCUAAGUGUCCUAAAACUAAUGGAAAAAGGGAUCCCUUGCAAGGCAAGGAAAGGGAAAAUUGGGAAAGGUGCGGCAAGGCUUUACAAUGUGCAAGAGAGGUGUAUUUGAUGUCCUAGAAUGCUUAGGAUGCCUUCAAAGUUGAUAAAUCUUAGGAACAUUUAGGAAAGGUCAAACCAAAGUAGGAAACCUUGGCUUAACUUUCCUAUUUCAAGUAGGAAUCCUUCUUGGAGUAGGAAUCCUUGUUCUUCUAGGAAUCCUCAUGUGAUUAGGAAUCCAUCUUCAAUUAGGAAUCCUUCGUCGAUUAGGAAUCCUUCUUCGAUUAGGAAUUCUUGGUUGAUUAGGAAUCCUAAUUUCUUCAAGUCUUUAAUUCAUCCAUUCCUUUUGCUCCAAGCAUGUGAUAAUCAUUCCAAGCUCCAUUUUGCUCCAAAAGGCUCCAAAAUGCAUACUUUGCCUUUAGAAUCUGAAAACACACAAAAGUAACUUUAAACACUAAAAUAGCUAACGAAACAUAACAUAAAUGCACGAGAACAAGCCAAUUAAGUCGCAUAAAUAUGCUCCUAUCAGGCCUCCCAAGUAGGAUCGACAAUGGGGUAACAUUGGGUGAAUCCUCAAUCUCUAAAACAUAGAAAUCUGUUGGGAAUAUCAAGUUAUCUACCUGCACCAAAACAUCUUCCAAAACUCCUUUCGGAUAUGCAUUAUAACGAUCGGCUAAUUGAAUUAUGACACCAUCGUUUUUAAGCUCUCCUAAGUUCAUAGAUGCAUAGUUGAGUAUGGCAUGACAUUAAUUGAAGCUCUUAAGUCUAAAAUAGCAUGUUCAAACUUAGUAUUGCAAAUAACACAAGGAAUUGUAAAACUACCUGGAUCUUUGCAUUUAGGGGGUAAUUUCCUUUGCACAACAGCAAAAACAUUUUCACUUACCUGGACAACCUCUUUGUUUGAAAUUCUCCUCCUUGUUGUACAAAGCACUUUCAAAAAUUUGGUGCGAAAAUUAACUUAACACACAAAUUAAACCCUCUUUUGACAUUUGUAGUAUAUGUAUAAGUAGGGAUUGUUCUUAAAUCGGGGAUUAUGAGGGAUUGCUAAUCGACUCUAAACUGACUCAAAGACACAAAAACAAACUAAAAAUGUUUAGAUAGACUCAAAAGAUUCAAAACAAGUUCACAAGACUCAAAAUAAGCUAAAAAAACUCAAAACUGCCUAAAAACACAAACUAGGUAGUGUUUGACACUAAACAUAAUUUUGGACGAAAAUUGGUUUUAUCUUAACUCCAAACACUUAAAAACACAACUAGGACAGAUUGUAACUAAUUAGACACACUAAAGUAAAGGGAGAUUGGGUUUUGGAUGGAAAUAAAGUAAAACUAAGCAGAAAUUAAAACUAGGCAGAUUUGCACGAAUUUGGCAAAAAAAUAUGGAUGAUGGGCUAGCUAGAAGGUUAUUCUCCACACAUGACACUUGCAUACAAAACGAUUUCCUGUUGCUUCUCAAUAAACCAUGAACCUCAAUACCCCAGGUUAAGUAGGUACGCUUAAAUUAACCCUCAGAUUUUCCUUAUGUCAUUGAAUUGGAUGGAAAUAGUGCAUCGCAAUCAAAUUAUUCUUCAAAAGUUCCCUACAUGAAAGCGCAUAAUAGAGAUACAAUCAAAGAUCAUUAAGUUAUAUGAAAAUCAUAAGUACUGACAAGGCAUUCGUUACUAUAAAAGCGCAUGAUACGUAUGCCAGGAAUUUACUUAACACGAUUGUGACUAGCAACCUCAUUUACUUAACACGAUUGUGACUUGCAACCUCCACUACUCAUGAAUAUAAGUUUGUAACGAUUAGGUGAAACUCCCUUAUAUCCUAGCAUCAGAUUUAUGCAUGUAAAUUAAGUGUGCACUCUCAACUCACAUACACAAACAAAUUUUAAUUCAAGCAGAUAAGUAAAUUGAAUUCACAAUUUAUGGAAUCACAACUGGAUGUAAUCAAAUUAUAUUGCAAGUAUAAUCAUGGUUUCAAAAUUCCCCCUAGCUAAGAGGGGUUUAGUUCCUCAUACUCACAAAAUGAUGUGAAAAUUAUGUUGACACACAAAUUAACCCUCUUGUUGACAAUUGUAGUAUGGAUAAGUAGGGAUCAUUCUUAAACCGGGGAUUAGGAGGGAUUGCUAAAACACUCAAACUGACUCAAAUAUGUAAAACAAGGUUUAAAACACUCGACUAGACUCAAAGAAUGCAAAACUAAACUUUAAAACACUAAAACAAAUCAAAAGACUCAAAACAGCACCAAAACACUCAAAACUGCCUUAAAACACUUUCUGGGCAGUUUUGGGACUCUAAUGCAAACUUGGACGAAUUUUGGUUUUCUAAUGACCUAAAACACUUAAAAACAUAAUCUAAGACAAGUUCUAACUAAUAUGACUCAAAGAAAUAAAGUGGGGUUGAUUUUGGACGAAUUUAAAUUAAAUGGCAGAUUGUAAAGAAAACAGAUUGUAGACAAAAUUGUGAUGAAUCAAUGGAUGAUGGAAUGGCUAAGGGGUUCUUCUCCACACAUGAAAUAUAUGCAACGUAAAUCAAUUUCCAGUUAUCAAUUCAAUAAGUUAUGAACCUCGACACUCCAAGUUAAUUAGGUCCGCUUAAAUUAACUUUCAGAUUUCCCUAGAAUCAUUGAAUUGGAUGAAUAUGCAUCGCAAACAAAUUAUUCCUAACAAGUUCUCUAUAUGAACAGCAUGAUAAAGAUACAAGUUAGAAUCAUUACGUUCUUUGGAAAUCAUAAGCAUCGACAAGGCAAUUGUAACUAUGAAAAGCAUGAUACUCUUGCCAGGAAUCUACUUAACACGAUCGUGACUAGCGACCUUCACUACUUGCAAAUAUAAAUUCAUAACGAUUAGGUGAAACAAACUUAUAUCCUAGCACCAAAUUCAAGCAUGCAAAUUAAG
rnacentral:lncRNA from 1 species